rnacentral:rRNA from 1 species
CUGGAGGUAUCAGAAGUGCGAAUGCUGACAUAAGUAACGAUAAAGCGGGUGAAAAGCCCGCUCGCCGGAAGACCAAGGGUUCCUGUCCAACGUUAAUCGGGGCAGGGUGAGUCGACCCCUAAGGCGAGGCCGAAAGGCGUAGUCGAUGGGAAACAGGUUAAUAUUCCUGUACUUGGUGUUACUGCGAAGGGGGGACGGAGAAGGCUAUGUUGGCCGGGCGACGGUUGUCCCGGUUUAAGCGUGUAGGCUGGUUUUCCAGGCAAAUCCGGAAAAUCAAGGCUGAGGCGUGAUGACGAGGCACUACGGUGCUGAAGCAACAAAUGCCCUGCUUCCAGGAAAAGCCUCUAAGCAUCAGGUAACAUCAAAUCGUACCCCAAACCGACACAGGUGGUCAGGUAGAGAAUACCAAGGCGCUUGAGAGAACUCGGGUGAAGGAACUAGGCAAAAUGGUGCCGUAACUUCGGGAGAAGGCACGCUGAUAUGUAGGUGAAGUCCCUCGCGGAUGGAGCUGAAAUCAGUCGAAGAUACCAGCUGGCUGCAACUGUUUAUUAAAAACACAGCACUGUGCAAACACGAAAGUGGACGUAUACGGUGUGACGCCUGCCCGGUGCCGGAAGGUUAAUUGAUGGGGU